UACGUAGGGGGCAAGCGUUGUCCGGAAUCAUUGGGCGUAAAGAGCGUGUAGGCGGCCAGAUAAGUCCGCUGUGAAAUCUCGAGGCUCAACUUCGAGCUGUCAGUGGAAACUGUCUGGCUAGAGUCCGGAAGAGGAGAAUGGAAUUCCUGGUGUAGCGGUGAAAUGCGCAGAUAUCAGGAAGAACACCCGUGGCGAAGGCGGUUCUCUGGGACGGUACUGACGCUGAGACGCGAAAGCGUGGGGAGCGAACAGG
rnacentral:rRNA from 1 species